UCAUGGCUCAGGAUGAACGCUAGCUACAGGCUUAACACAUGCAAGUCGAGGGGCAGCGCAGUGUAGCAAUACAUGGGCGGCGACCGGCGCACGGGUGCGUAACGCGUAUCCAACCUUCCCGUUACUCAGGGAUAGCCUUCCGAAAGGGAGAUUAAUACAAGAUGGUAUUCAAAUUCCGCAUGUUAUUUGAAUUAAAGAUUUAUCGGUAACGGAUGGGGAUGCGUGACAUUAGAUAGUAGGCGGGGUAACGGCCCACCUAGUCUACGAUGUCUAGGGGUUCUGAGAGGAAGGUCCCCCACACUGGAACUGAGACACGGUCCAGACUCCUACGGGAGGCAGCAGUGAGGAAUAUUGGUCAAUGGUCGGAAGACUGAACCAGCCAAGUAGCGUGAAGGAUGAAGGUUCUAUGGAUUGUAAACUUCUUUUAUACGGGAAUAAAACCUCCCACGUGUGGGAGCUUGUAUGUACCGUAUGAAUAAGCAUCGGCUAACUCCGUG
rnacentral:rRNA from 1 species